rnacentral:lncRNA from 1 species
AGUACGUACAUAUCCUGGAAUAUAUGGUACCUACGACAUAUGUAGUAUACAGUACGGGAAACGUACGUUCGUACUUCAAAAGCGAUCGAUUUAGGCAGAUGGGUUUAUAGGCAAGCUGUUCGCUGUAAGUCGGUAUGUAUGUAGCUACGCCGGUGGUGGGAAACCGCCACGGACACCGUAGGGUUACGUUCACCUUUUGAGAGCUGAGCAGCUAUCCGUAUGCAAGAACUGGUACCCAAGGUAGGACGUACCUAAGAACUAUACCUCUGCCCUCCCGGGCCCCGUAAACACGGAUACAGAUGAACUUAACCCUCCGCCGCCAUAAUGCUGCUGCGCCUGCAGUACAUUGAUGGUACCGCCAUAAUGCUGCUGCGCCUGUUUGCUGUUUCCCUGCAGUACCUAGCCCUCGGAACACAACGGCCGACACCGCUGCGGGCCCCCCGCCAGCUCCAUCUACCACCCCCUCUAAACUGCGUACCUGCUUCUUGCGCAGCUUCUCCGCUGACAGCGAUGCGAAAAAGUACUUGAGUUCCUCGUCGUGGAAGAUCUUGGCGUAAAAGGACGAUACCACAUUAUACACGUGCCCGGGGCCGCCUAAGGCUGCCACCAAUUUCGAGUCAAGCGCCUCUGCAGAAACCAAGCCACGUGGAAACGCACGUGAAGGCCGUCAUGUACAUGGUGUACAGCUAAGUCUAUCCGUGGGUCGCCUGUUAUGCGGCCACCGAGCGCCAUCAGUGGCCCACAAAGCAUACAGGUUCAGCAAGCAACCUAUCCUGCUGCUGUGGGCCACAGCGUGAUAUGAGCGGCGGGGUGGCUGGGGGCUGGCCGACAUGCGUAAAGUGUGGACUCCAGGAAUGCUUAGGAGCCCCAAUUAGGUUUACUAACAACAACGAUCCUAAACGCCUAAAAGCCUGAAAACCCACCUGCCGCCGCCACAAGCUCCUCCCU